rnacentral:misc_RNA from 1 species
GAUGAAGAACGUAGCGAAAUGCGAUACUUGGUGUGAAUUGCAGAAUCCCGUGAACCAUCGAGUCUUUGAACGCAAGUUGCGCCCGAAGCCAUUAGGCCGAGGGCACGCCUGCCUGGGCGUCACACGUCGUUGCCCCCCCAUCUACUCCUUCGGGAUUGCGGGGGGCGGAUGAUGGCCUCCCGUGCGCCUCGCCGCGCGGUUGGCAUAAAUGCCAAGUCCUCGGCGACGCACGCCACGACAAUCGGUGGUUGCGAAACCUCGGUUGCCCGUCGUGUGCGGUCGUCGCGCAUCGAGGGCUAGAAAAAAUUGCCGGGUUCCGGCUCGGCUUUCAACGCGACCCCAGGUCAGGCGGGGUUACCCGCUGAAUUUAAGCAUAUCAAUAAGCGGAGGA